rnacentral:rRNA from 1 species
AACGUACGCUGGCGGCACGCCUAACACAUGCAAGUCGAUCGAAGUAGCAAUACUUAGUGGCAGACGGGUGAGUAACAUGUAGGUAUCUGCCCUUUGGCCUGGAAUAACACGAGGAAACUUGUGCUAAUACUGGAUAAGUCUUUACGGAGAAAGCUUUAUGCACCAUUGGAUGAGCCUGCACUUGAUUAGUUUGUUGGUGGGGUAAUGGCCUACCAAGACUGUGAUCAAUAGCUGAUUUGAGAGGAUGAUCAGCCACAUUGGGACUGAGACACGGCCCAAACUCCUACGGGAGGCAGCAGUGGGGAAUCUUGCACAAUGGAGGAAACUCUGAUGCAGCGAUGCCGCGUGAGUGAAGAAGGCCUUUGGGUUGUAAAGCUCUUUCGUCGGGGAAGAAAAUGACUGUACCCGAAUAAGAAGGUCCGGCUAACUUCGUGCCAGCAGCCGCGGUAAUACGAAGGGACCUAGCGUAGUUCGGAAUUACUGGGCUUAAAGAGUUCGUAGGUGGUUGAAAAAGUUAGUGGUGAAAUCCCAGAGCUUAACUCUGGAACUGCCAUUAAAACUUUUCAGCUAGAGUAUGAUAGAGGAAAGCAGAAUUUCUAGUGUAGAGGUGAAAUUCGUAGAUAUUAGAAAGAAUACCAAUUGCGAAGGCAGCUUUCUGGAUCAUUACUGACACUGAGAACGAAA